CAUGUCAGCUGAUUUGAGGUCCCUCUCCUGAUUUGCUCCUUCCACGUCGCGGCAACUAUGAAAACCGGCUGUGGAGGGAUACUUCCGGGUUCGACUCCUGCUGUUGCUGUAAGCUUAUGGCGUUUAGAACGGCGUUGGAAAACAAAGCAUUUUCUCCCCUCAAUUCAUCUAUAAAUUAAUUUCACCUCAGCGGUCAGGUUUUUUUUCCCCCCUUUGAAUUGAUCUUCUUCAUAUUGAAGUGGCGAGCCGGUAGGACCAUUCUUUGUUUUCCCCUCUUUUCCCCCACUUUGCAGUCUUUGGAUUACGGACAUAUUUCCCCAUUACAUGAAGCUGGACCCUAAGGAGGAAUUCCUUUAAAAAAGUGAACUUUAAAAAAGAAACUUUAACAAAGGACCAAAAGGACUCUUAACAAAAAGGACUCUUGCACAGAAAAAUCACAGCAUUGAUUUAUUAUUUAAUUGUGGGUAUUUAUUUAUGUUGUGUGUUGUAUUAAUUAUUUUGUUCCAUUUCCCCUUUCCCCCAUUUAUUCAAUAUAUUCUUGGUACAAGAUAUUGCUGUUAUGUGAAGGCUGUGUGCAGGCAGGAGUGGUAGUAGGGGGACCCAAUGUGCAGACACUCGGAGGCGGAAAGUAACUCAAACUCAGAUUUAUUGCUAAACUCAAAAGGUAA